AAGAUGUAUCCAUAGGUGUUAUUUUUUCAGUUUCAUAUUUCUAAUGCUAAAUUAAACGCAAGCUCUAAGUUUUCAACUUGUUUUAUUUUUUAUACAUGCAGUUAAAGGCAAAGGGGGAAAAGGAAACAUGAAAUUGAUUAUUGCCAUUUCUGUGGCAAUUGGUGCAGUUACCUUAGCUGUUUGUUCAUAUAUUUUGUGGCGGAAAUUCACUGCCAAGCCUACAGGUAACGUUGCCUUGUUACCAUUUCUUACAUAAUUUCAAGAGCAUUCACGUUUUUCUUGUGCUAUUAGAAAAGAGAGUAUUAUUUCAUGUGGCAGCUGGGCAUCAUGCUAGUUUGCAUAUUGCAUAGAUAUAAUGGAUUGUAUUUCUUCAAAUUCUCCAUUACAUCUUAGACUUCCAAUCAAACCUAUAACUUUUUAGUGUUCAUAUAUAUAUUAGCUUGAUGAUUGGCAAGAAAAAAUAUAAAAAUCAAAUGGCUUAUUAGUAGAUAAAUUUUAAUAAAUGUUCUUUUUAAUUUGUUCAUAAUCAAAUGGCUCUAAAGUCCUUACUAGAGACACCAAACUGCAAAAUAAAUAACAAAAUCGUGCUUGGUCUUACCGAUCAAAGUCCGAUCCACUCUGUUAAUUAAGGGCCAACUAUACUCAAUAGUCAAAGUUGGUGUGCUGUUAAGUGAUACUGUAUGUAAUAUUAUCCUAUAAGACUCACUGACUCAUAGUAUAAGUGGUGGACUUGGUGAUGAUAAAGACGUGACUAGAAUUGGUGCGUGAAUAAUCCAAGAACAUUGAAAUUUCGGUGCGUGGCUAGAAUGUGUAAUGUUUCAUCCACACCUUUCUUUUGAAGUGGAGAGGUGGAAUGAUGAAAGAGAUAGGAAGAAAAGAAAAAGUAAGAGAGAGAAAAAAUGAGAUGUGAUAGAUGAUAAGAUGAGAGAGAUAGAAAUAAAAAGAGGUGGAAAUUGAGUGUUUAAAAAAUGAGGUGUGUAUAUAUCAUUACUUUGGCUAGAAUUGGUGCGUGAACGCUGGAAUUUGCAAGCACAUAAGUUGGACUGUUUUGAAUCCAGUAGUGCUCACAUACGAGUACGGUACCGGAUACUUGUAUGUAUGAGAUACGGUAUUUUUAGAAAAUCCUGGAUAUGAGUACAUUAAUUAGUAUAUAUAAUAUUUAUAAAGAUAUAUUAGUAGCUGGAUACAGUAGUUCAUCAUCCUCGGGGUAGACCUAAAAAAGUGAAGCGUAGAGGAAGGCAGAAGCGGGUUCUAGAUGGGGAGUCUAGUUUGCAAGCGGAGGUCUUGCCAACAACUUAUGGAUUAGAAGAGCGCCAGCUGAUGAUUUUGCCAGCAAAAUUCUCGGAACCUCAAGGCGUUAUGACUAGGGCGAGAAGUGCCCUUUUGAUGGGUACGUAAACGCUUGGGCUUGGUGUACGACUGCUCUGACCUUAUGGCUUUGAACCGGAUUGCGGCUCAAAUUUAUGCGCGUAGAUCUUCUUAGGGCUGGUUUUAUUUUUGCAGGCGAGGGUUUUUGGUUUGUUGCGGCUCAAAUUUAUGCCGGUAGAUCUUCAUAGCCAGUGGUGCAAUCCGUUUUUGUGAUUAGAUGAUAAGAAAAUAGAAGUGGAAAAUCCAUGGCAACGCUUAAAACAUCUUAUCAAGUGAUGGAAGUAAAAAUAAAUCCCUCCCAGACUCCCAGUUCGGAUGAAGGGCAAGGCUAUAGUUUAUAAGUAUGAUUGUUAAAAGUAAAAAAGUUCAAGGCAAUUUUGUACAACUUUACACUUAUCCCUAGCUUAUCAAUAUCCUAUACUUACUUACAACACAAUUUUGGGUCACCCCGUAUCCAGUCCAAAUAUUAAGGAAUUGGAAUAAACUUUUAAGCUUGGAUCUAUUAAUCAGAUAAAACUCAAACAAAAAAAUUCUACGUUGAGAUAAGAGCAAAGUAUACAAGAGUGUAAAAUUUGUCCUCUCACUUACAUAUGGAUUAACAUUUUUCUUUUCAUAUGUGAGAUUCUUAUUUACCCUUAAUUUUCUAUUAACACGUGCAUUAGUAUUUGUGUUUUAUUUGAAAAUGUGUUUUGACUUUUUUCUGUAAAUAGUCAAAUUAUGUGUUACUUGUAAGUACGUAAUUGUUAAAUUAAUUUUAGGCCCUUAAUUUAUAUGUGAUUUGUGAAGGAAAGUGAGUUACUUUUGUUUGAAUGUUUUGUAAAUUCUGAAUUUAUUUCGUUAAAGCAAUGCAAGUUUUCCUUAACAAAUGAUAAAUACAUUCAGGGAGCCAGCCUCAAUUCGAAGAUCAUAAAGAAAUGAAACUACAUUAUCUACCACUAUUUGAUUUUGAAACGCUUGCAACCGCCACAAAAGGCUUUCAUUUGGGUAAUGUGCUUGGGAAAGGAGGUUUUGGUUCAGUAUAUAAGGUACUUUUUUUCUUCUUCUGAGAGCUGCCUACCAUUUUACAUUUUAUAUAUGUUGCAUUAAUCAGUAUUAACUUCUUUUUUCCUAUCUAGGGAGAUUUGGAAGAUGGCCAAGAAAUUGCAGUAAAAAGACUCUCAAAAGCUUCUGGACAAGGAUUAGAAGAAUUCAUGAAUGAAGUUUUGGUGAUCUCCAAACUUCAACAUCGCAAUCUUGUAAGACUUCUUGGUUGUUGUGUUGAGCGAGAUGAGCAGAUCCUGGUUUAUGAGUUCAUGCCAAAUAAGAGUUUGGACGCAUUUCUCUUUGGUUAGUUCUUCCCUAUUAUAUAUUCUACUUCUAAAACAUAUGGGAUCGUCUCAUGUGCAUAUUUCUCAUGGCACUGUCGUGCUAUAUAAAAUCUUGUGUCUAUCUCGGUCUUCAUGCCUAUUAUAUAGGUAGCGCCCUCAAAAUAUUUAUGAGUAGAUAGAUAGACACAAAAUUUCACUAAUAACNNNNNNNNNNNNNNNNNNNNNNNNNNNNNNNNNNNNNNNNNNNNNNNNNNNNNNNNNNNNNNNNNNNNNNNNNNNNNNNNNNNNNNNNNNNNNNNNNNNNNNNNNNNNNNNNNNNNNNNNNNNNNNNNNNNNNNNNNNNNNNNNNNNNNNNNNNNNNNNNNNNNNNNNNNNNNNNNNNNNNNNNNNNNNNNNNNNNNNNNNNNNNNNNNNNNNNNNNNNNNNNNNNNNNNNNNNNNNNNNNNNNNUAAGAGCAAAGUAUACAAGAGUGUAAAAUUUGUCCUCUCACUUACAUAUGGAUUAACAUUUUUCUUUUCAUAUGUGAGAUUCUUAUUUACCCUUAAUUUUCUAUUAACACGUGCAUUAGUAUUUGUGUUUUAUUUGAAAAUGACUUUUGACUUUUUUCGGUAAAAAGUCAAAUUAUGUUUUACUUGUAAGUAAUUGUUAAAUUAAUUUUAGGACCCUUAAUUUAUAAAUGAUUUGUGAAGGAAAGUGAGUUACUUAUGUUUGAAUGUUUUGUAAAUUCUGAAUUUAUUUCGUUAAAGCAAUGCAAGUUUUCCUUAACAAAUGAUAAAUACAUUCAGGGAGCCAGCCUCAAUUCGAAGAUCAUAAAGAAAUGAAACUACAUUAUCUACCACUAUUUGAUUUUGAAACGCUUGCAACCGCCACAAAAGGCUUUCAUUUGGGUAAUGUGCUUGGGAAAGGAGGUUUUGGUUCAGUAUAUAAGGUACUUUUUUUCUUCUUCUGAGAGCUGCCUACCAUUUUACAUAUUUUAUAUGUUGCAUUAAUCAGUAUUAACUUCUUUUUUCCUAUCUAGGGAGAUUUGGAAGAUGGCCAAGAAAUUGCAGUAAAAAGACUCUCAAAAGCUUCUGGACAAGGAUUAGAAGAAUUCAUGAAUGAAGUUGUGGUGAUCUCCAAACUUCAACAUCGCAAUCUUGUAAGACUUCUUGGUUGUUGUGUUGAGCGAGAUGAGCAGAUCCUGGUUUAUGAGUUCAUGCCAAAUAAGAGUUUGGACGCAUUUCUCUUUGGUUAGUUCUUCCCUAUUAUAUAUUCUACUUCUAAAACAUAUGGGAUCGUCUCAUGUGCAUAUUUCUCAUGGCACUGUCGUGCUAUAUAAAAUCUUGUGUCUAUCUCGGUCUUCAUGCCUAUUAUAUAGGUAGCGCCCUCAAAAUAUUUAUGAGUAGAUAGAUAGACAUAAAAUUUCAUCACUAGACUCUCAAAUACCGGUCCCAAGCCAUCAUCACUCUAAGUCUAAUCAUUCUAAUUGUCCCUUAUGCACUUAACCACGUACAUUAACAUGAGUCUAGAGAACCUCAAUACAUUAGCAAAGUCAGAUGCACACAAAUAAUGACCUUGAACCCAAGUUCCUAGCCAUGUCUUAAGCCCAGUCCAGUUCUACAACUAAAAGCUCUGCUAAACACAUAACAUAUUACAUCUAGAAGUUGUUUCUCAUCUUAUUUUUGUUUUUUAAUUGUUUUAAUAAACUAUCCCUGUUCUUUAUAAAAUAACCCCUCCUAGUCAUAGUCAACUUGAUCUCAUAAUCCUGUUAUUUAUUAAGAAAGUAACGACUAAUUACAAGAUGUCACCAAAGCUGGCUUCUGAAUGAAAUAAUCUCAAAUACGAUUUUUUUCCAUCUAAUUAGCAUGUUAAUUAACGCGUAGCUAAAUUCAACUAAACCCAUGGGAGUAUCUUGACACAUACUGCCUAGCUCUGCAAUUCAAUACCGACUUUUUUUCUCCAAUAAAGCUGUUGCUCCAUUUUAUUGAAAGGUUUUAAUUUAAUUAUUCACACUAUUCUUUCUGUUCAAUCUUAUUUUCAUUUAUUGUCUAUUUUACAUUAUACAUGACUCUUAAUUUUUUUCAUUUAUCAAUAGGUGGACGCGAUGUUAAAGUGUGAACGUUAGUUUUCCCUUUUAUUGAAUAAUAAACCUCUUCGAAAAUUCCCUAUCAAAUACUAAACUUUAGGUUAGUCAAAGAGAGCCAAGGAAAUCAACCUUUCUAUUACAAUCCUCUUUACCAAGAAAAUCACCAACAUAAUUCUUCUUCUUGAGCAUAUUAUCUUACAACACCGAUGCAGUUAGUUUUACUUCACCACCAGCUUCAAAAUGCAAUUGACCCCAUCAAACCCAAACACUAAUAUUCUUGUUCAAAUAGACACAAACAAUAACAUCCAGAAAGCACACUAAGGUUCCCAUUGUUCUCUAACAUUUAUGGGUUUUCACAAUCAUGCUAAUCUGUUGUUGAUUUUUCUACUCAUAUUCUCCAUAUUUUCUUCUGUUUUGAGCUCUGUUGACGAUACAAUCACACCAUCCAAACCCAUCAGAGACCCCAACACAAUCACUUCCAAAAACGGUGACAUCAAGCUAGGAUUCUUCACCCCUGAAAACUCCACAAAUCGCUACGUAGCAAUGUGGUACAUCUCCCAAUCCUACAACAUAUGGGUUGCAAACAGAGAUCAACCACUAAACGAUUCAUCCAGUGUGUUCAAAAUCAACAAGGAUGGGAAUCUUGUCAUCUUGAACGCUCAGAAUCGGGUGAUAUGGUCAACAAACAUUUCAGUUUCAAGCAACUCAACAAGAACAGCUCAGAUUCUCGAUUCAGGAAACCUGAUCCUGCGAGAUGAUGAAACCGGAGAAACAGUUUGGGACACUUACUCCCAUCCUAGCGGAUCAGCUGUCCCAGGAAUGAGAAUCUCAACGAACCGAAUCACCGGGGAGAAAAUCCAGUACACCUCAUGGAAAAACAACACUGAUCCUUCUUCAGGCUACUUCACAGCUAGCCUAGAACGGUUGGACACUCCAGAAGUGUUUUUCUGGCGCAACAAAACUCAUCCAUAUUGGAGAACUGGUCCAUGGAAUGGACGAGUUUUCCUCGGCGCACCGAGGAUGCUAACUGAGUAUCUGGCUGGAUGGGAAUUUCAAAAGGAUGAUGGUCAUGGAAAUUCUUAUCUUACUUACAAUUACGGUAAGCAGAACACCUUUGGAAUUCUGCGCAUGACUUCUAAUGGUACACUUCAAUAUAUAAACUUUUACAACAAGACGGAAGCGUAUAGACUCGAGGUGGGUCAAAAUGUGUGUGAUUUCUAUGGCACUUGUGGGGCUUUUGGGAACUGUGACGCUUUCAGUGACCCGAUUUGCAGCUGUUUUGAGGGGUUUAGGCCGAGGGAUGCGGAGGCGUGGAGCGCAAAGAAUUGGACCGGCGGGUGUGUGAGGACGGCGGAGCUGCGGUGUGAGGAGGUGAAGAAUGGGAGUGAAGUGCAGCAAGAUGAGUUUUUGUUGUUUAAUAAUAUGAAGGUGCCCGAUUUUGCAGAGUUAUCUGGUGGGGAGCAAGAUAAGUGUCGGCCGGAUUGCUUAGCAAAUUGUUCUUGCUUGGCGUAUGCGUAUGACCUUACUAUUGGUUGCAUGUAUUGGAGUAGGGAUUUGAUUGACUUGCAGAAAUUUGAAAAGAGAGGUGUUGAUCUCUUCAUUCGUGUGCCUGCAGAACUAGGUGUGUCUUCUUCUCUCUUUCAUUUUUAGAAUCCUCUGGUUCCGUUCCAUGUGUUCUUUCAAAGUUUACCAUUAGAAAAAAUAUAUAUAAAAAAACAGAUCGAGAUAUACUCUUUGUUCUUACACACGGCCGUCAGCCCUCUGAUUUAGGAAUUAGAGUCUCAGAUCUAAGGAUUUGAGCCCAGAUCUAGGUUUCUCGAGUCCUAGGAUUUCUAGCCGUCAAGACAAUAAAUAUAAGAGUAAAUGAGAAUUUGUCUUAUUCAAUGAGGGGUCUUGCUUUUUAUAGUGGAGUCAAACAUUAAACAUAAAUCUAUUACAUUUGGGCCUUAACUAGGCGUCUUGGCCUUUGCUAUCUAUGGGCCCAAUCCGCUAGUAUUCGAUCAGCUUUAAGCUGCUAGAGUCGACGUGCCAAGACCGCGAGGUCCUUUGAAUAGAGGUUGAAUCGCCAUAAAGGGGCGAGUCCGGUCCACCUGCCCGCAAAACAUCAAAUCCUCGUGCAAAAGGAUGAAGUGCGUUUUUAGCAUUGAGUUCCAGUGUCCUAAAAGUCUUUGAGUUGAGGUCGAGUCGCCCUAAAGGAAGCGAGUCCAAUCCACUCUUUGUUGAAGUUAAAAGAUGUAUCAAGAUGUCCUACUUAUCCAUUUUCAUAUUUUCUAAUGCUAAAUUAAAUAAGUUCUAAGUUUUCAACUUGUUUUAUUUUUUAUACAGUUAAAAGCAAAGGGGGGAAAGGAAACAUGACAUUGAUUAUUGCCAUUUCUGUGGCAAUUGGAGCAGUUACCUUAGCUGUUUGUUCAUAUAUUUUGUGGCGGAAAUU
rnacentral:lncRNA from 1 species